rnacentral:Y_RNA from 1 species
GCCCGGCGGAAGGCGGCGAGUUGUCCCCAGCGACUGUUCACCACGGCAGCUCUGCCUCUGUUCUACUCUUGCCCUUCUCACCACUGCACCUGACUGGUCUUAA